rnacentral:rRNA from 1 species
CAGAGGGUGCAAGCGUUGUUCGGAAUUACUGGGCGUAAAGCGCGUGUAGGCGGUCUUUCAAGUCCUGUGUGAAAGCCCUGGGCUCAACCCAGGAAGUGCGCAGGAUACUGAUUGACUGGAGUGGCGGAGAGGAUGGCGGAAUUCCCGGUGUAGAGGUGAAAUUCGUAGAUAUCGGGAGGAACACCUGUGGCGAAGGCGGCCAUCUGGACGUUCACUGACGCUGAGACGCGAAAGCGUGGGUAGCAAACAGGAUUAGAUACCCUGGUAGUCCACGCUGUAAACGAUGGAUGCUAGAUGUCACGGGUAUUGACCCCUGUGGUGUCGACGCUAACGCAUUAAGCAUCCCGCCUGGGGAGUACGGCCGCAAGGUUA